AAAAAGAGGAAGUUUGAGGCCGGCCGCUUGGUGGCGCCUGUGGCCGCAGGGAUUUGACUGGGCCUUCUCUAGCUUUCCCCGGUUUGCUGCACUUGACGCUGCAGGGCGGGCGGGGUAAAGAAGGGAGCGAGCCCUUCUCAAGCUUGGAAAGUUUCCAGACUGCUGGGCCAGCCUCCUCCCCAGAGGGAAACUGAGGUCCGAUUGAGGUAGGAGAAUAGGGUCUGGAGGCGGGGAACUUGAGGCCAAUACGUGCUGAAUUCUGAAGCUGAAUCAAGGGAAAACACCAAGGUCUGGGGGCAGGGAACCGGAGGCCAACUAAGGCGAGCUUACUAAAGCUAAACCAAAAAGAAAAACCCCAUCUCCCCAUGUCCAAGUAACAAAGGAUCAAAGGCCACUGUCCCCACAACCCUCCCCCUUCCACCACGUCUCAGUUGAAAGGGAGAGUGCCUUGGAUUGGCUGCGGGCCAAGCACGGGCCAUCCCUUCAUCUGCAUAGGGCGCCAAUUCACCUUAGCCCCAUUUAUGCCUUGUGUUCCAUUAUUGGAACGCUAAGCAUAUGGGAGUUAUUUAUAUCCUACUGCUCAAGGUCAUGGCCAAGGUCUGAUUGCAAAAAUUCAAAAAGAUUGCAACCUCAGGCAUAAAUG
ensembl:lncRNA ATP6V0D1-DT ATP6V0D1 divergent transcript